rnacentral:rRNA from 1 species
GUGUCAGCAGCCGCCGCGGUAAUACGUAGGGUGCGAGCGUUAAUCGGAAUUACUGGGCGUAAAGCGUGCGUAGGCGGUUAUUUAAGUCAGAUGUGAAAGCCCCGGGCUUAACCUGGGAACUGCAUUUGAUACUGGAUGACUAGAGUUGAGUAGAGGGGAGUGGAAUUUCAGGUGUAGCGGUGAAAUGCGUAGAGAUCUGAAGGAACACCAGUGGCGAAGGCGGCUCCCUGGACUCAAACUGACGCUGAGGUACGAAAGCGUGGGUAGCAAACAGGAUUAGAUACCCUGGUAGUCCACGCCG